CGGGCGGUCCCUCAGGGGGGGUCUGUCGUGAGGGGCGGGUGACGCUGCCCUGGGACCCCGCCGCUUCGGCCCGGCUCUGUCCAGGGGCGCCCCAACGCUUGACCCGCCGCCUGGUCCUUCGCGGCCCUCAUGCAUCGCGAUCCCCAGAGGUGUUUUGGAACCCGAGAGUGAGCCUCUCGGUCAGUACCAAGGGCUGGAGACUAAUCACAGUGAACAUCCACCUGUUUUUUCCAGAGCAGCACAACUGGUCUAUAUGGAACAUACCGGGAAGCCAAGUGGGCGAUUGCCUGUGCUAUUUAUUUUUAAGGCAGUUGACAGCACUGGAAAAUUCUCAACACACACAGAUUGCAGGAUGGAUGGCAGAGGUUGGGAUGGAUGAACAAGGAUUAGCCCUCACAAUGGUACGGGGAUGGGCCAUAUCUUGUCUUCCAGACAAGAAGCCCUGCUGAAAAAAAACUGCAGCUAAUGAUGGAAAGCUGAAACCAGGUAAAAGGAACCAAUAGCGACAUUAAAAUUUAAUUGAAUUGAAAAUUCCUUGUUCUGCAUUUAUGCUUUGAGCCUGUCUCUGAUUUAUUUACACUUACACAGAUCAAAAGAAACUGAAUUUAAAAUUACAGAGAAAAGAAACUAGCACAAACAGUAUAAAGCUCAGUGCCAGCAUUCCACUGUGAUGAAAUACCUGUGAUCUUAAAAUAGCUGAUAUGCUGACUAUUCCAUAAUCAGAUCAAAAUUUAAGUCUAUACAUUGCUCUCCAGCAAAAACAGAUUUCCUGCUCACCAGCGGAUUUUUUCCAAAAAAUAUCUUUACUAUUACCUUUAUGUAGCAAAUAGACUUGAAUAGUAUCAUUCUUUAUUCAGUGCAUUAUUGUUCGAGUAAUUUCAUUACACAAGUAACACAAAUAUUCACAAGGCUUGAAAUUAAUUUGCCUUAUUGUUUGCUUUUUAUUUCUCUUUAUUACACGAAGUAGUUACAAAGUGGCAAUAGAACAAUCUCUUUGCUUUAACAAUCCACACAGGUGUUCAUUUGCUAAAUGUUUUAAAUCUGAAAUGAACCGUAUCAGAACUAGCAGACUAUUACCAGUUAUUAAAGGUUUCUUGUGAAACAUCUGACACCUGUAUUAAACUUGAAAUUGAAAGCUCUGUAAAUGUGAGUACUUCACAUGGGUCCUCAGCCC
rnacentral:lncRNA from 1 species